AGAGUUUGAUCAUGGCUCAGGGUUAACGCUGGCGGCGCGCAUAACACAUGCAAGUCGAGCGAGGGCUCAUUUCCCGCAAGGGAGAUGGGUUCCUAGCGGCGAACGGGUGAGUAACACGUGGGCAACCUUUCCUAUCGCGGGGGAUAACAGCGGGAAACCGCUGCUAAUACCGCAUGUCGUCACCGGUCGCAUGGCCGGUGAAGAAAGCAGCAAUGCACGAUGGGGUGGGCCCGCGGCCUAUCAGCUAGUCGGUGGGGUAACGGCCUACCGAGGCGAUGACGGGUAGCUGGUCUGAGAGGACGACCAGCCACACGGGGACUGAGACACGGCCCCGACUCCUACGGGAGGCAGCAGUAGGGAAUCUUGCGCAAUGGGCGAAAGCCUGACGCAGCGACGCCGCGUGAGGGAAGAAGGCCUUCGGGUUGUAAACCUCUUUCAGGAGGGACGAAGCCACUCGGGUUAAUAGCCUAGAGGGUGACGGUACCUCCAGAAGAAGCCCCGGCUAACUACGUGCCAGCAGCCGCGGUAAUAC
rnacentral:rRNA from 1 species